UGUAGCCUAGUUAUAGGGAACCAUGAAAACCAGCUCUGCCACCGACACAGAUGAAAGACUCUAUUGUUCCUCCUCUAGAUGAAGAGACAUUUUUUCAUUUUUUUCAUUGUGAAACCCUUGUUCCAUGAGCCUUUUAUUUUAACAAAAGACAAACAGUGUCUGAUUCUUAUUCAGGUCUGUCUCUCACUCUGCGGUGCUGGGUAAAAACCCUGUCACUUGCUGAAUAUGUGACGGGCUUUGAAGUAAUCAGUGUCGAGGCUGGUAGCGUUGAACAAGGAGACUGUGGGAGUGGUCAGCUUUCUGGUGAUCUACCCCCUCUACCUGCCACUCUUUAUUCUCUUCCGGAUGAGCCAUAGCAAGUGUGACAGUAGAGCAGGUGUCCUCCCAGGUGGAUUAAGAGUCAGGGGAGAUCGAUUACUUCCUGGAUAAAUCCAUGGCAGGAAGCUCCUUCCUCAUCUACAAAGGGAUUCCUGGAGAGAACUGCGACAUGGCUGAGUCUGAGAAGGAGAUAGCGUAGACUGUCAUGGGGAUUUACGUCAUCCGAGGAAGAUCCAGAUGACGUCAGAAUUGUGAUUGAGGGUGUGAGGUUCUCAUCGACCUGGGAAGCGGAGCCUUAGGAUGUGCCAUGUUGUUUGGUUGAUCUAUGCACUCAACCUGAGCUACACACAGCACCUCAAAUGCACUUUGAUGUGUUCCAGAAGAUUCUAAUUAACUUGGAUGGAAACAAGCUUUCACCAAACAUCCAACCACUCAAGACCAACAUUUUUCAGUGAUCAACUAAAAGGAGAAAGUGACAGUUUGCAGUCAACUGACAGAGUUUGCCCUUGUCUUUAGGGCAAAUGUCUGAACAGAGAUGUUUAUUUAACCAUUAUUUCACUCUUUUAUGGCAGCUUUGGAGCAGUGGCUUCUUCCUUGCUGAGCAGCCUUUCAGGUUAGGUCGACAUAGGACUUGUUUUACUGUGGAUAUAGAUACUUUUGUACCUGUUUCCUCCAGCAUCUUUUUUUACCUUUAUUUAACUAGGCAAGUCAGUUAAGAACAAAUUGUUAUUUUCAAUGAUGGCCUAGGAACAGUGGGUUAACUGCCUUGUUCAGUGGCAGAACGACAGAUUUGUACCUUGUCAGCUCGGUGAUUCGAUCUUGCCACCUUUCAACUACUAGUCAAACGCUUGAACCACUAGGCUAUGCUGCCACCCCAAGGUCCUUCGCUGUUGUUCUGGGAUUGAUUUCCACUUUUCACACCAAAGUGCCUUCAUCUCUAGGAGACAGAACAUGUCUCCUUCCUGAGCGGUAUGACGGCUGCGUGGUCCCAUGGUGUUUAUACUUGCAUACUAUUGUUUGUACAGAUGAACGUGGUACCUUCAGGCGUUUAGAAAUUCCUCCCAAGGAUGAACCAGACUUGUGGAGGUCUACAAUUAUUUUUCUGAGGUCUUGGCUGAUUUCUUUUGAUUUUCCCAUGAUGUCAAGCAAAGAGGCACUGAGUUUGAAGGUAGGCCUUGAAAUACAUCCACAGGUUCACCUCCAAUUGACUCAAAUUAUAUCAAUUAGCCUAUCAGAAGCUUCUAAAGCCAUGACAUUGUUUUCUGGAAUUUUCCAAGCUGUUUAGAGGCACAGUCAACUUAGUGUAUGUAAACUUCUGACCCAUUGGAAUUGUGAUACAUUGAAUUAUAAGUGAAAUAAUCUGUCUGUAAACAAUUGUUGGAAAAAUGACUUGUGUCAUGCACAUAGUAGAUGUCCUAACCGACUUGCCAAAACUAUAAUUUGUUAACAAGAAAAUUGUGGAGUGGGUGAAAAAAUGAGUUUUAAUGACUCCAACCUAAGUGUAUGUAAACUUCCGACUUCAACUGUAGGUAAGGAUAAAGUGACUAGAUAGUGGGAUAGAUAAUAAACAGUAACAGCAGCGUAUGUUAAGAGUCAAAAGAGAUUAGUGCAAAAAGGGUCAAUGCAGAUGUUUCGGGUAGCUAUUGGUUAACUAUUUAACUUACUAUUUAGCAGUCAUAGCUUGGGGGUAGAAGCUGUUCAGGGACCUGUUGAUUGCAGACUUGGUGCAUCGGUACAGCUAGCCGUGCGGUAGCAGAGGGAACAGCCUAUGACAUUGGUGGCUGGAGAAUUAGACAAUCUUUAGGGCCUUCCUCUGACACCGCCUGGAAUAGUCUUGGAUGGCAGGGAGCUCGGCCAUAAUUAUUUUAUGUUCAUUACAGCUCAUUCAGAAGAACCAGUUGAUAUUCUAUUUAGAUUUUGUUGUUUUACAAUUUCAGAACACCAUUGUGUCUUGGCACAGUGCAAUCUUCAAGUUUGUUAUUUGGUUUACUUGAUAUACUUUCUGUCUUAAAGGUUGGUAAUUGAGAAAAAACACUGUCUUUUAAACAUUGCACAGCUUUGUUCACUUGUAAAGUAUUUCAUGUACAGUGGCUUGCGAAAGUAUUCACCCCCUUGGCAUUUUUCCUAUUUUGUUGCCUUACAAC
rnacentral:lncRNA from 1 species